rnacentral:sRNA from 1 species
CGGCUCUGCCUCUAGCCCCUUUGCCGAACAUAUCGUACACCCCUUAUCAUCCUCCAUUCACAUCUGCUAUAGUACAUCCUUUCAAAUCUUCACCACUCUGUCUCCCAUAUAUGUCCACUCAAUUCUCGCCGAUAAGCCCAUCAAUAAUGAUCUUCAGCCGCAAGAAACUAGGGCCUUCGAAGGAAGACCACUCUGGCACCCCUCCUGCCAGAUUAUGACACGUUGCAUACGUGUUCUCUCGCACUCUCUGGAUGGUGCAUCUACAAAACAGUGGUAUACAUGGUUACAUACAAGCAUAAUGGUGCUGCACUCUGUCCUGCCUUCUCAGUUGUUUUGGUGCAUCAACCAGUACUGUUCUCCCAUUAAUAAUUAAUGCGGCGUUGUGAUAGGACAGUAUCUCCUUCCAGUAAAACGCGUCCGUGCCCUGUCCCAACCCCAAUGACAUCCGACAUGCCCGCUCUUUACAAUUCCCUUCCCUUUGCUUCUCGCUGCCGAUCAGUUCCAUUGCCCCGCAUCCUUUCCAGUCAAUCAGCAUCCGUUCUGCACUAUAAUAAAAACAACCCACCAUCAGACGUUCAUUCCCAGCCUCAGGUCCAUUCCCGGCCUUUCUCUCUGCGGCCAACUUGCCCGAUAACUGCCCUGCCUUGGGAUUGGAUACAUUCACACCUUUUCCUUGAGCCUACACCAUAUGCAUAUACAUCAGUCAGCCUCAUCCUCCAUUCCUAUUUUGCAGCCACUAGCCAAUAAAACUUGAUUGAAAGAAGAAUUUACAGCUUUUGCUCUUUCCUCAGCAGCUUUUAAGGCUCUGUCUCUCGGAUCCCCUGCAUCCCCUCCAGCCCCAGGUGAUCCCAGCAUCUGGGGUGGCGGACUAUUUAUCCUCUGCUUGGCAGGUCGGCCGGCAGCAGAAGUAGGUUGUGUGGUGGUUGUUGGCGAGGACUGUGCAGGAUGUGAAGGCGCAGAGCCGAGAGUCUGUCCCUUGCCGGGCGGUUUAGAUGGGUCAGAGAAACAGUUGCCCAUUUGUGUUACGAGUUCAGAUUGGGUAGAUAAAGAGAAAGAAUGGACAAGAGUAA